GAAACUACAAAUGAAUUGACGGGACCGCACAAGCGUGGAUGAUGUGGUUUAAUUCGAUGCAACGCGAAAAACCUUACCCACCUUUGACAUGUACGGAACCCUUUAGAGAUAGAGGGGUGCUCGAAAGAGAGCCGUAACACAGGUGCUGCAUGGCUGUCGUCAGCUCGUGUCGUGAGAUGUUGGGUUAAGUCCCGCAACGAGCGCAACCCUUGUCAUUAGUUGCUACAUUCAGUUGGGCACUCUAAUGAGACUGCCGGUGACAAGCCGGAGGAAGGUGGGGAUGACGUCAAGUCCUCAUGGCCCUUAUAGGUGGGGCUACACACGUCAUACAAUGGCUGGUACAAAGGGUUGCCAACCCGCGAGGGGGAGCCAAUCCCAUAAAGCCAGUCGUAGUCCGGAUCGUAGUCUGCAACUCGACUACGUGAAGUCGGAAUCGCUAGUAAUCGUGGAUCAGAAUGUCACGGUGAAUACGUUCCCGGGUCUU
rnacentral:rRNA from 1 species